rnacentral:rRNA from 1 species
GUAGUCAUAUGCUUGUCUCAAAGAUUAAGCCAUGCAUGUCUAAGUAUAAGCAAUCUAUACUGUGAAACUGCGAAUGGCUCAUUAAAUCAGUUAUCGUUUAUUUGAUAGUACCUUACUACAUGGAUACCUGUGGUAAUUCUAGAGCUAAUACAUGCUAAAAACCUCGACUUCGGAAGGGGUGUAUUUAUUAGAUAAAAAACCAAUGCCCUUCGGGGCUCCUUGGUGAUUCAUAAUAACUUAACGAAUCGCAUGGCCUUGCGCCGGCGAUGGUUCAUUCAAAUUUCUGCCCUAUCAACUUUCGAUGGUAGGAUAGUGGCCUACCAUGGUGGCAACGGGUAACGGGGAAUUAGGGUUCGAUUCCGGAGAGGGAGCCUGAGAAACGGCUACCACAUCCAAGGAAGGCAGCAGGCGCGCAAAUUACCCAAUCCCGACACGGGGAGGUAGUGACAAUAAAUACUGAUACGGGGCUCUUUUGGGUCUCGUAAUUGGAAUGAGUACAAUCUAAAUCCCUUAACGAGGAACAAUUGGAGGGCAAGUCUGGUGCCAGCAGCC